rnacentral:tRNA from 1 species
GUCAGGAUGGCCGAGCGGUCUAAGGCGCCAGACUCAAGGUGAAAAUCCUUCCUGGGUAAAGGGGUAUUCUGGUCUCCGAAUGGAGGCGCGGGUUCGAAUCCCGCUUCUGACA